AACGAACGCUGGCGGCAUGCCUAAUACAUGCAAGUCGAACGAUCCCUUCGGGGAUAGUGGCGCACGGGUGCGUAACGCGUGGGAACCUGCCCUUAGGUUCGGAAUAACUCAGAGAAAUUUGAGCUAAUACCGGAUAAUGUCUUCGGACCAAAGAUUUAUCGCCUUUGGAUGGGCCCGCGUUGGAUUAGCUAGUUGGUGGGGUAAAGGCCUACCAAGGCGACGAUCCAUAGCUGGUCUGAGAGGAUGAUCAGCCACACUGGGACUGAGACACGGCCCAGACUCCUACGGGAGGCAGCAGUGGGGAAUAUUGGACAAUGGGCGAAAGCCUGAUCCAGCAAUGCCGCGUGAGUGAUGAAGGCCUUAGGGUUGUAAAGCUCUUUUACCCGGGAUGAUAAUGACAGUACCGGGAGAAUAAGCCCCGGCUAACUCCGUG
rnacentral:rRNA from 1 species